AUCAACUUUCGAUGGUAGGAUAGAGGCCUACCAUGGUGGUAACGGGUAACGGGGUGUUAGGGCACGACACCGGAGAGGGAGCCUGAGAAACGGCUACCACAUCCAAGGAUGGCAGCAGGCGCGCAAAUUACCCAAUCCCGACACGGGGAGGUAGUGACAAUAAAUAACAAUACGGGGUUCUUUCGGAUUUCGUAAUUGGAAUGAGUACAAUUUAAAUCUCUUAACGAGGAACAAUUGGAGGGCAAGUCUGGUGCCAGCAGCCGCGGUAAUUCCAGCUCCAAUAGCGUAUAUUAAAGUUGCUGCAGUUAAAAAGCUCGUAGUUGAAUUUCGGGACCAAUAUGUCGGUCGUGCCUCGGUACGUACUGGCAUCGUUGGUUUCUCCCUUCUGACGAACCAUGAUGUCAUUUAUUUGGUGUCGUGGGGAAUCAGGACUGUUACUUUGAAAAAAUUAGAGUGUUUAAAGCAGGCUCACGCUUGAAUACAUUAGCAUGGAAUAAUGAAAUAGGACGUUUGAUUCUAUUUUGUUGGUUUCUAGGAUCGACGUAAUGAUUAAUAGGGAUAGUUGGGGGCAUUAGUAUUCAAUUGUCAGAGGUGAAAUUCUUGGAUUUAUUGAAGACUAACUACUGCGAAAGCAUUUGCCAAGGAUGUUCUCAUUAAUCAAGAACGAAAGUUAGGGGAUCGAAGACGAUCAGAUACCGUCGUAGUCUUAACCAUAAACUAUGCCGACUAGGGAUCGGAUGAUGUUAAUUUUUUAAUGACUCAUUCGGCGCCUUACGGGAAACCAAAGUGUUUGGGUUC
rnacentral:rRNA from 1 species